ensembl:snoRNA small nucleolar RNA, C/D box 49B
GUCAAUGAUGAAGUCUUGGAGUAGGAAGUGCCGUCAGAUGCGACAACUGACGAUUUCUGAUCCACUUUUUUGAGG